rnacentral:rRNA from 1 species
UACGUAGGGUCCGAGCGUUGUCCGGAUUUAUUGGGCGUAAAGAGCUCGUAGGCGGUUCCGUAAGUCAGAUGUGAAAACUCAGGGCUCAACCCGGAGACGCCAUCUGAUACUGCGGUGACUGGAGUCUGGUAGGGGAACACGGAAUUCCUGGUGUAGCGGUGAAAUGCGCAGAUAUCAGGAGGAACACCGGUGGCGAAGGCGGGUCUCUGGGCCGUAACUGACGCUGAGGAGCGAAAGCGUGGAGAGCGAACAGG